UUCUUGUCAUUUUAUUGUUUGACCGGCACUUGCUGCUUCAGUAGUACUCAAUUUCACUGAGAACUGCACUCCUGAUACUUUAUCACCUUACUUGGAUGGAAUUGUUAGCAAAUUGCUUGUGUUGCUUCAGAAUGGGAAGCAGAUGGUGCAAGAAGGGGCAUUGACAGCUUUAGCGCCAGUUGCUGAUUCAUCUCAGGAGCACUUCCAAAAAUAUUAUGAUGCUGUCAUGCCAUAUCUUAAAGCUAUUUUGAUGAAUGCCACUGACAAGGCAAAUAGAA